UACGUAGGUGGCGAGCGUUGUCCGGAUUUAUUGGGCGUAAAGAGCCCGCAGGCGGCUCGUUAAGUUUCAGGUGAAAUCUCCCGGCUCAACUGGGAGAGGUCCUGGAAAACUGACGAGCUUGAGGCAGGGAGAGGGAUGUGGAAUUCCCGGUGUAGUGGUGAAAUGCGUAGAUAUCGGGAGGAACACCAGUGGCGAAGGCGGCAUCCUGGCCCUGUCCUGACGCUCAGGGGCGAAAGCGUGGGGAGCAAACCGG
rnacentral:rRNA from 1 species